AAGUCGUAACAAGGUUUCCGUAGGUGAACCUGCGGAAGGAUCAUUAGUGAAAAACCGGGUGCUUUCGAGCCCCAACCUCUCACAUCCACACACACCUGUGCAUCCGUCGCGGAGAGUAAGGAUGCAAGUCCCCUCGACGCUUUUUUACAAACUCUUUGUCCUCUGGAUGUAACCUUCAUUGUCGUAAUGGCAUCGAAACUAAAUAAAACUUUUAACAACGGAUCUCUUGGCUCUCGCAUCGAUGAAGAACGCAGCGAAAUGCGAUAAGUAAUGUGAAUUGCAGAAUUCAGUGAAUCAUCGAAUCUUUGAACGCACCUUGCGCUCCCUGGUAUUCCGGGGAGCAUGCCUGUUUGAGUGUCAUGAAGCUCACAACUCCUUCCGGGUUUACUCGUUAGGAGCUUGGACUUGGACGUUGCCGUUCCUUUUAUUAGGGAUGGCUCGUCCGAAAUGCAUUAGCAGGUUCCGCUCCNAUCUUUCGGUUCCACUCGGCGUAAUAAGUAUUAUCGCUGAGGACGUCUUCGGACGGCCGNUUGGGUAGUGUCGAACNGCUUCUAAUCAUGCCUUUGAUCUUUGAUCGAAGCCAAUUUUUAACAUCUGGCCUCGAAUCAGGUAGGACUACCCGCUGAACUUAAGCAUAUCAAUAAGCGGAGGAAAAGAAACUAACAAGGAUUCCCCUAGUAACGGCGAGUGAAGCGGGAAGAGCUCAAAUUUAAAAUCUGGCGGCCUCAGGUCGUCCGAGUUGUAGUCUAGAGAAGUGUUUUCCGCGCCGGACCACGUACAAGUCCCUUGGAACAGGGCGUCAUAGAGGGUGAGAAUCCCGUACUUGACGUGGAGUCCCGGUGCUUUGUGAUACGCUCUCCAAGAGUCGAGUUGUUUGGGAAUGCAGCUCAAAACGGGUGGUAAAUUCCAUCUAAAGCUAAAUAUUGGCGAGAGACCGAUAGCGAACAAGUACCGUGAGGGAAAGAUGAAAAGCACUUUGGAAAGAGAGUUAAACAGUACGUGAAAUUGUUAAAAGGGAAACGAUUGAAGUCAGUCAUGCCUGGCAGGACUCAGCCUUGCUUUUGCUUGGUGCACUUCCUGUUGGGCGGGCCAGCAUCAGUUUUGAUCGGCGGAAAAGGGUGAGAGGAACGUGGCUCCCUCGGGAGUGUUAUAGCCUCUUGUCGUAUACGCCGGUUGGGACUGAGGAACGCAGCGUGCCUUUUGGCGGGUCUUCGGACACCCACACGCUUAGGAUGCUGGCAUAAUGGCUUUAAACGACC
rnacentral:rRNA from 1 species